GGUGCUUGCACUGGUCAAUCUAGUGGCGAACGGGUGAGUAACACGUGGGUAACCUGCCCAUCAGAGGGGGAUAACAUCCGGAAACGGAUGCUAAAACCGCAUAGGUCUUCGAGCCGCAUGGCUUGAAGAGGAAAAGAGGCGCAAGCUUCUGCUGAUGGAUGGACCCGCGGUGCAUUAGCUAGUUGGUGAGGUAACGGCUCACCAAGGCCGUGAUGCAUAGCCGACCUGAGAGGGUGAUCGGCCACAUUGGGACUGAGACACGGCCCAAACUCCUACGGGAGGCAGCAGUAGGGAAUCUUCCGCAAUGGACGCAAGUCUGACGGAGCAACGCCGCGUGAGUGAAGAAGGUUUUCGGAUCGUAAAACUCUGUUGUUAGAGAAGAACAAGUGCUAGAGUAACUGUUAGCGCCUUGACGGUAUCUAACCAGAAAGCCACGGCUAACUACGUGCCAGCAGCCGCGGUAAUACGUAGGUGGCAAGCGUUGUCCGGAUUUAUUGGGCGUAAAGCGUGCGUAGGCGGUUUUUUAAGUCUGAUGUGAAAGCCCACGGCUCAACCGUGGAGGGUCAUUGGAAACUGGAAAACUUGAGUGCAGAAGAGGAAAGUGGAAUUCCAUGUGUAGCGGUGAAAUGCGCAGAGAUAUGGAGGAACACCAGUGGCGAA
rnacentral:rRNA from 1 species